UGUUGUUUGCAAUUGCGUUUCUUUUGCCCGGUUUCCUCCUCCUCCUUCUCCUCGCGCUCCGUAACGGCCUUUCGAGCGGCUUCCACGGUGCCGUUGAAAACGUUAAAAGGAAAGCUAGAAAGAUCUAAUUCGGAGAAGGGGGAUUAAACGAGGAAAGGGGAGCUGAAGCGGUCUUUAUUAGACGGAGGGCAGCGAGAGGAGCAGCUGUGGGAAAAUAAAAAUCAAUCAAGUAAAGGUAGGAAGUUGCUGGGAGGCUAUUCUGAGGCUGUCACCGUCCCCAGGCCAGUGGCCGAUCAGUGCCGGGGAAGGAAGGAGCCCUGUGGGACUCACGGACUCGUGGAAAAAGGAGAACGGGAGGGAGAGGAAUGUAGUAAAUAAAGUCACGAAAAUACGGGUGGUGGACCAUGGCUUUUUUCUUUUUCAUUGAACUGUGGAAAAUACCCUGAAUAGCUGACAAGAGCACCACCUACAACCAAACGUGGACAUUUAGCACUGGCCAACCAAGAUUACAACCUGAUGAGAACAUCUUCCUCUGCCCAUUAGAAAUAAUCACGUAACACCUAUAAGACGAUAAGAAGUUGUUGUUUUUUCAUAAGCUUUUCUGUGUCUGAGGACACUUCUUCGGAUGAAUGGAAGACAAAUGUUACGAAUAACUAUCAGAGCUUUAUUUGAAAGCCCAUGGAGACUGGCAAAUUCAUAUGUAGAGAAUUCAUUAUUUCAAAAGCAAGCUAAAAGCUGGCAGAAGAAUUUUAGCACAACCUGCACAAGAUGUUCAAAAUCUCGACAACUGGGGCGUAAACGGAUCAUUUCAGAAAAGAAGCUGGUAAAGAUUUAUUUUAAUUUCAAAUACAAGAAUUCUGGGUUGAAAUCACAGUGUUUUUCCA